GGCUAAGUAUGUGUGCCUUCGCUGGAGCGUACUACGUUGCUGCGCGCUCCCGCCGUGAGGAGUGACGUGGCACCAGUGGCACCUCGUAUUCUUCCGCAGUGUAUUCCUCGCUGCUUUCCUGCCUGUUGUGUGCUGUGCAACCUCGCGUUUGAGAAGGAUGACAACCUUGUUUUUUCAGUACAGGCUUAAUGUUUGCUUAAGACAGUGGACGCAUUGCAAAUGGCGGCAGGAGAGAUCGGCUACAUCGGUGAAGUGAUGAUGUGUACAUUACAAGCGAGGCUAAUUGUAUUCUUUCGUUAUAGGUGCACGUGGGACUGUAUCAACUUCAAGGACGUGAGUCGCAAAAUGCUGUACUAUUCUAGCAUUCACGUUUGAACAAUACCAGCGUGAUAUUAACUUCGGUUUCUUCACAGGUAGUUUCCUGUCUCAACGGUCACAUACACGCGUGCAAAACUGUAACUGCUUCGCAUCGAAGUGUGUAUGGUGCCACUAGCUUGGACAAUUGUUCAUCGGCCAUUUCGUUUGAGGAACUGUCGUGUUCGUCACUAAGAAUGAUCUUGGUUGAGCUGUGCAGUGCCUGUUCGGAGUUCCGAGGGCUGUGUGUUCGAUGUUUGGAGUACUGCCUGGUUCAUCGGAGGUUGUCUGUCCAUGCAACAUGUGCUCCAUAUGUGUGUGUUGGGAUUAGUGAACCGUGUAUGCUUUCCAUUCGGCCAACGAUGAUGUACGGGAUUCAAUUUAAAGGUAUGUGCACGGCAAUAAAAUUUGGUGUUUCAA